rnacentral:rRNA from 1 species
GACGAACGCUGGCGGCGUGCUUAACACAUGCAAGUCGAACGGAAAGGCCCUGCUUUUGUGGGGUGCUCGAGUGGCGAACGGGUGAGUAACACGUGAGUAACCUGCCCUUGUAUUUGGGAUAACUUCAGGAAACUGGGGCUCAUACCGGAUAGGAGCUCCUGCUGCAUGGUGGUGGUUGGAAAGUUUCGGCGGUUGGGGCUGGACUCGCGGCUUAUCAGCUUGUUGGUGGGGUAGUGGCUUACGAAGGGUUUGACGGGUAGCCGGCCUGAGAGGUUGACCGGCCACAUGGGUCCUGCGGGACGGCCCAGACGGCUACGUGAGGCAGCGGUGGGGAAUAUUGCACAAUGGGCGGAAGCCUGAGGCGGCAACGCCGCGUGCGGGAUGACGGCCUUCGGGUGGUAAACCGCUUUCGCCUGUGACGAAGCGUGAGUGACGGUAAUGGGUAAAGAAGCACCGGCUAACUACGUG